rnacentral:lncRNA from 1 species
GUAAUUUCAAGACCCAACUGCUAAAAGAAAGAUGAGGAAAGGAGGACUAGCCUGGGAGACAAGCACGUUCACUUAUGCUGUGCUUGGAAAGUCAUGACUUAGAAGGCUGUGUGUAGUCUGCCUGGCCCAUGAACAUGAUCCAGUGACAAGGAGAGAAUCAAGUGGAAAGCAAAUGCUCUGGGUCCUCGUGGAAUAAGAGAAAAAGAGGUUAUGAACAGAUCGUUCUGGAUGUGGUGCUCAGUACCUGGACUUCGGUGUCUCUGAGCUGUGAGGCCACCGCAAGCUGAGGGGAGGGGACGUCAUGAUGAGCUUAAAUAUUUUAUUCCAU